rnacentral:rRNA from 1 species
UUAGUUGGUGGAGUGAUUUGUCUGGUUAAUUCCGAUAACGAACGAGACUCUAACCUGCUAACUAGUUCCGUCGUCUCUUUUGCGGCGGAAUUUCUUCUUAGAGGGACUGAUAGUGUCUAACUAUACGAGAUUGAGCAAUAACAGGUC